rnacentral:tRNA from 1 species
GGGGAUGUGGCUCAAGUGGUAGAGCGCCCGUCUGGCAUGCGCGCCGCCUGGGUUCGAUCCUCAGCACCACA